UACGUAGGGUGCAAGCGUUGUCCGGAAUUAUUGGGCGUAAAGAGCUCGUAGGCGGUUUGUCGCGUCUGCUGUGAAAACCCGAGGCUCAACCUCGGGCCUGCAGUGGGUACGGGCAGACUAGAGUGCGGUAGGGGAGAUUGGAAUUCCUGGUGUAGCGGUGGAAUGCGCAGAUAUCAGGAGGAACACCAAUGGCGAAGGCAGAUCUCUGGGCCGUAACUGACGCUGAGGAGCGAAAGCUAGGGGAGCAAACGGG
rnacentral:rRNA from 1 species